rnacentral:rRNA from 1 species
GACGAACGCUGGCGGCAUGCCUAACACAUGCAAGUCGAACGGACAUGGCGAAGAUAUAGCGAUAUAUUUUGAGCUAUGUUAGUGGCGAACGGGUGAGUAACACGUGAGCAACCUGCCCUUUACUACGGGAUAACGCUCGGAAACAGGCGCUAAUACGGUAUAAGACCACACUAUGGCAUCAUAGAGCGGUAAAAGCGAUUUAGCGGUAAAGGAUGGGCUCGCGUCCAAUUAGCUGGUUGGUAGGGUAACGGCCUACCAAGGCGACGAUUGGUAGCCGACCUGAGAGGGUGAUCGGCCACACUGGAACUGAGACACGGUCCAGACUCCUACGGGAGGCAGCAGUGGGGAAUAUUGGGCAAUGGAGGAAACUCUUACCCAGCAAUGCCGCGUGAGCGAAGAAGGUCUUCGGAUUGUAAAGCUCUUUGAUUGGGGACGAAGUAAGUGACGGUACCCAAGGAACAAGCCCCGGCUAACUAUGUGCCAGCAGCCGCGGUAAUACAUAGGGGGCGAGCGUUGUCCGGAAUUACUGGGCGUAAAGGGUGUGUAGGCGGUUUUUUAAGUUAGAAGUGUAAUACCCAGGGCUUAACUCGGGUGCUGCUUCUAAAACUGGAAGACUUGAGUGUAGGAGAGGAGAAUGGAAUUCCUAGUGUAGCGGUGGAAUGCAUAGAUAUUAGGAGGAACGCCGGAGGCGAAAGCGAUUCUCUGGACUACAACUGACGCUGAGGCACGAAAGCGUGGGGAGCAAACAGG